AACCGAGUCUUAAUUGGGCGUUAAGUUGCAGGGUAUAGACCCGAAACCCGGUGAUCUAGCCAUGGGCAGGUUGAAGGUUGGGUAACACUAACUGGAGGACCGAACCGACUAAUGUUGAAAAAUUAGCGGAUGACCUGUGGCUGGGGGUGAAAGGCCAAUCAAACCGGGAGAUAGCUGGUUCUCCCCGAAAGCUAUUUAGGUAGCGCCUCGUGAAUUCAUCUCCGGGGGUAGAGCACUGUUUCGGCUAGGGGGCCAUCCCGGCUUACCAACCCGAUGCAAACUGCGAAUACCGGAGAAUGUUAUCACGGGAGACACACGGCGGGUGCUAACGUCCGUCGUGAAGAGGGAAACAACCCAGACCGCCAGCUAAGGUCCCAAAGUCAUGGUUAAGUGGGAAACGAUGUGGGAAGGCCCAGACAGCCAGGAUGUUGGCUUAGAAGCAGCCAUCAUUUAAAGAAAGCGUAAUAGCUCACUGGUCGAGUCGGCCUGCGCGGAAGAUGUAACGGGGCUAAACCAUGCACCGAAGCUGCGGCAGCGAACGUAUCACUUAAAGCGAUUCAGCGGGUUACGAUUGACGGAGCGAAGCGACGUCAAAGCGUAUACAAAGUCGAGUCGGUUUAAGGAUACGUUCGUUGGGUAGGGGAGCGUUCUGUAAGCCUGUGAAGGUGUGUCGUGAGGCAUGCUGGAGGUAUCAGAAGUGCGAAUGCUGACAUAAGUAACGAUAAAGCGGGUGAAAAGCCCGCUCGCCGGAAGACCAAGGGUUCCUGUCCAACGUUAAUCGGGGCAGGGUGAGUCGACCCCUAAGGCGAGGCCGAAAGGCGUAGUCGAUGGGAAACGGGUUAAUAUUCCCGUACUUGGUGUUACUGCGAAGGGGGGACGGAGAAGGCUAUGUUGGCCGGGCGACGGUUGUCCCGGUUUAAGCGUGUAGGUGUGUGUUCCAGGUAAAUCCGGUU
rnacentral:rRNA from 1 species